rnacentral:lncRNA from 1 species
CAGAGCAAAGGAAGUGGCUUAAUGAUCCUGAAGGGAUUUCUUCUGAUGGUAGCUUUUAUAUUAUCAAACUUUUUUCAGAUAACAUCUUCUGAGUCAUACCCAGCCUGGCAAUAUGAUGGCCUAGAUGGAGAGGGGAACAGCUCCUUGGUGAAUGAUAAGUAAAGGCAGAAAAGAUUAUAUUUCAUACCUAUCUUCAUUGGGCAAAAGCAUAACUCUGAAAUCCUUACUACUGAUGAACUCAUGGUCUGCAUAUGCAAAAAAAAAAUUUAAGCAAAUGAAAGCUACCAAUUUAAAGUUAAUGGAAUCUACUCUUAAAGUUAUGGCAUAUCAAGCUGUAUCCACAAAAAUAAUGAAUCGAUGAGAAAUAAAAUAAUGAAAUGAUGAGAAAUACCAUGAAGAUCUAAUGCCCACCUCAAAAUACUGCUUUUACAAAAGCAGAAUAAAAAAUGAAAUGAAAUGAAAAUGAUAAAGCUACACAUUAACCCUGGAAUAAAAGAAGCUGAAAUAAUUGAAAGGAGUGGGAUCAAGUGGAUUGAGAGGAAGCUGUGCUGUUUGCCAAUCUUUCGUUUGCCUCAGACAGGUUUCUCUAUCAGAAGAGUUGCUUCAUAUCAUCUGGGAGCAGAAAACAGCAGGCAGCUGUUCACAGAUAAGUUUAACUUGCAUCUGCAGUAUUGCAUGUUAGGGAUAAGUGCUAUGUUUAAUAAGAGCUGUGGAGGUCCUAGGUCCCUUACUCAAGGGAUCUCAGGAUUUUGAGGAAUUUUCCCAUCCAGCCUUUUAAAAUGAGACAGGCCUUAUGCCUGUGGGCUUCCAUGAUGGGCUAACUCACUUCACUCGAGGCAAGUAAUUCCUUAAAGCCUCUUGAGAUUAAUACCUUAAUAAUCAAGGAUAAUGUUGAUAAAAUAAAAAUUUGUUUAGCAUUGAUUCUUGAAAACCCUAUGAAAAGAUAGCAUAAUGUGCUGUUAACCAGAAUCAGAUAUGUUAACCUUGCUAAAAUUUAAAUGUUAUGUGUAUUGUGCAGAAAACCGUAAAAUCACUCAAAAUAAAAUACUUUAUUUAGCGAAUGUAUGCUUUUAGAAAGCUGUCUCCUUAUUUAAAUAAAAUAUUGUUUGUCUGUAGUUAGUGUUGGGCAAUCUUGGGGGGAUUCUUCUCAUCUUUCAGAGACUUUGUCUGCGAACACUCUGUAAUGGACAAGAUCAGGAAUUGAGCUGAAGAACGAAUUUAACUUAAGAGGCUUCGUUUCAUCCUUCAUGAGGCUGUUCAGGAUUUUGACUUGCAUAUAAACGCUUGGCUCUGCCUUCUGUUCUCCUAGUGGGUGUGUGAGACCUUGCAGUGAGUUUUCAGCAUACUCAAGUAAAAAUUUUUUUCCCCCUGAUUUUGGAGGGAAGGGAGGAGAGGGUGGGGCUUACUUGUUUUAGCUUUUUUUUUGCAGACUACACAGAAUGCAGUUGUCUUGACCUCAGGUCUGUCUGUUCUGUUGGCAAGUAAUAAUGCAGUACUGUUCUGACCUGCUGCUAUUAGAAUGCAUUGUGAAACGACUGGAGUAUGAUUAAAAGUUAUGUUUCCCCCAAUGCUUGGAGUAGUGAUUGUUGAAGGAAAAUCCACUGAGUGAUAAAAGGCUGAGUGUUGAGGAAAUUUCUGCAGCUUUAAGCAUUCAUGUUUGUGAUUGAAGCAGUCCUUUUUGCUGUGCUUUAGGUAAAAUGCUUUUUGUUCACUUCUGGUAGGGGGGGUGGGGAGGGCACUGAAGCCUUUAGUCUUUUCCAGAUGCAACUUUAAAAUCAGUGACAAGAAAUAAGUUCCAAACGAACAACAGACUUCAAGAAGUUUAACUGGCAAGUGGAAACGUUUUAACAUCAGUUCAGUGGUCUUAGUGCAUUGUGUGUGCAGGUUUCUCUCUUCCCUCCCUUGGUCUCAAUUCUUAUACACAGGAACAUUCAGAACAACAGAUGAAGGGCCAGAGAAGCCAGACCCAGUAAGGAAAAAAAAA